rnacentral:rRNA from 1 species
UACGUAGGGGGCAAGCGUUGUCCGGAUUUAUUGGGCGUAAAGAGCGUGUAGGCGGCCUUACAGGUCAGCUGUGAAAACUCGAGGCUCAACCUCGAGACGUCGGUUGAAACCGUAAGGCUAGAGUCCGGAAGAGGAGAGUGGAAUUCCCGGUGUAGCGGUGAAAUGCGCAGAUAUCGGGAAGAACACCCGUGGCGAAGGCGGCUCUCUGGGACGGUACUGACGCUGAGACGCCAAAGCGUGGGGAGCGAACAGG